rnacentral:rRNA from 1 species
CCUACGGGUGGCUGCAGUGAGGAAUAUUGGUCAAUGGCCGUAAGGCUGAACCAGCCAAGCCGCGUGAAGGAAGAAGGAUCUAUGGUUUGUAAACUUCUUUUAUAGGGGAAUAAAGGUAUCCACGUGUGGUUAUUUGCAUGUACCCUACGAAUAAGCAUCGGCUAACUCCGUGCCAGCAGCCGCGGUAAUACGGAGGAUGCGAGCGUUAUCCGGAUUUAUUGGGUUUAAAGGGUGCGUAGGUUGUUUUUUAAGUCAGCGGUGAAAUUUUGUGGCUUAACCCUAGAAUUGCCGUUGAUACUGGAAGACUAGAGUGUGUUUGAGGUAGGCGGAAUGCGUGGUGUAGCGGUGAAAUGCAUAGAGAUCACGCAGAACACCGAUUGCGAAGGCAGCUUACUAAGCCAUAACUGACACUGAGGCACGAAAGCGUGGGGAGCAAACAGGAUUAGAUACCCUUGUAGUC